AUUUAUUUAUUUAUUUAUUUUGAGAUGUAGUCUCACUCUGUCGCCUAAGCUAGAGUUGCAGUGAGCUGAGAUCCUGCUACUGCAAUACAGCCUGGGAGACAGAGCGAGACUCUGUCUCACAAAGAAAAAAAUAAAAAGAAAAAAGAAAAAUAGAAAAAAAAAUAGCAGGGUAGUAGAAAUAUAAUGCACACAAGAAUGAUAAUCAUGAAGACAAUCUGAUUCUACAAGAGUAAGGGAACCUAUUCCAUUAGAGAGCCAACUGAAAACAUCAAAUCCCAGUUCACACCCCAGGGUGUGGGGUCACGUGCCUGUAAUCCCAGCUACUCGGGAGGAUUAGUAAGGAGGUUUGCUUGAAUUCAUGAGGUCAAGGCAGGAGUAAACCCUGAUCAUGCCACUGCACUCCAGCCUGGGUGACAGUGAGACCUUGUCUCAAAAACAAACAAACAAACAAACAAACAAAAACCCACAAAACCAAACAACAACAAAUUGCCACCUCACUCUGAAAUCACAGUGGCAAACAUCACUUUGCUAUUGACAAAUUAAAAGAAAAACACUCCCUCUUGCUAUCAACCUGGCCUCUUGCUCUAACAUGUCUGACCCAUGGUUUAAAAUGCCCAAAAGCUGAUGUCCUCAAAUUAUAAUACACUUACCUAUUCUGCACCAGCAUUUAUUUUUGUCUGGAGGAGAUCACCAUCCAUGGUCCUGUAAAUGUCUAACAGCAUGGAAUGAUGAAGGGCAGUGUCUUUUAGGAUAUUUGGUUAUAUCUAUAUAUAUGGCUCUGAAGAAACCCAACACUGGGCGAGUUCCCUCAAACUUUUCACUAGGCAUGACCACUGCUGUAUUUUAGAUAGAGAUUCUGUGGGGCAAAACCUGAGAAUUAUCUGCCUGGCUAUCUAGAAGAUAGCUCCUUGCAUUUUUUGGGGGAGAACACUUUUGCUUCAAGGGAGUGUUUCCUCCCAGGAUUAGAAAUCUUUCUGUAACCUCAGGAAACAUUGCUGAUGAAAACCAGGCAUGGUGUGCUGUACAACUUGUAGUAAUAAGGCAGAAGUUAAAAGGAAAAGACAGGUUCCCUGUACUUGGCUGACUCCAAGACCUGCCAUAGAUAGAGCCCUAGCAGAUCCUCGGUAACACGAUCUGAAAAGUCAGAGCCGCGAGGAGUGAGUUCCGGAGACUCUCUCAACACAGUAAGCCCCAACAAAGAUAAGAGGAAAAAACAACAAAUGCCUUUACUACCUUCUCUUUCCCCCUUCCCAUUUCUAAUUAUUCAAGUUUUGUUAAGUUCUUGAUUUCCCUUCAGUGCAGCUGCAAGGUCACCAGCUAUACUUGCAUUGCAAGACCUGUGACAGUUUGAUUAGCUGCCUUUGUUCUGCUUCUAUAAGCCCUCUUGCCUGCCCCCGAGUUUCAUGCCAUCAAAUUCCCGCCGCGCCAUUCAAACUAGCCGACCCCCUUUCAGAAGUGUCUAUAAAGUUAAGCCCUGUCUUUGUUCGGGGCUCAGCCUUUGGAUUUUCAUCUGCUGGGCCUCAGUGCAGUCAAUAAAUCCUCCUGUUCCACCCAUUGGUCUCUCUGUUCUCCUGAUUCCCACAACAGUAGUAGGGGACUGCGUUCCCACUUUCCCCUGGUCUUUCAUGGUAUGAAUAAUGGACAGCAUUUUUUUUUUUCACCUAUAGUCGCAGGCUCGGUCUCAGUGAUUGUAUGCUGUGGUCAGCUGUUUUUGUUUUUGUGAGACCUUGCUUUCUUGUUUACUGUCCUGGGACAGAUGUCUGUAGUCACUUGUUUCCUCGGGAGGCAAAUUUCAGUCUCUGUGGGGGAGGUCUCCCAUGUUAGCUGUGGUGGUACUUGGCAGGCAGAGCUCAGGGAUCUAGGCUUCCGUGCUUUGUAGAUUGCUCAAUGGUCCCCAAGGCCUAGUGGCUUUUAACACCACUUGAAAACCUUAGUGUUUUUCCACUGUCCCCAGAGUCACCUCUUACACAGCCUCUUUUUUUGUUUGUUUGACUUUUUCUCUGAGAGACAGUCUCACUGUAUCUUGGUUGAAUCGAUCCUCCCACCUCAGCCUCUGGAGUAGCAGAGGCACGAGUCACCACAGCCGGCUUAUAUCUGUUCUUGUUUUUGUUGUUGUGGUGGCUGUCUUGUUUUUUUAAGAGUUGAAGUUUCUCCAUGUUGCCCAGGCGACGUGCUCCCGGCGAAGGAGGCCGCCUGCCUGGGGGCGGGCUGGAGCCACGUCCCAGGGCUGGGGGCGCUGUGGGCACUGUGGGUGCCGCACCCACCGCUGCCCGGCACUGGAGGCCAAGAGAGCGUUCCCGACGGGCUCCGCGGAUGCCCCGCCGCGUCCUGCUGCCCAUCCUGCCCGGGUUGUCGCGGGCCGGGGGCACGACAAGAGGCCGGGGUCUGCCCGGACGCAGCGGCCUGCAGGGCGCAGCUGUCCCUCCACCAGCCGGGGUCCCCUCGCUCAGCCCAUGAG
rnacentral:lncRNA from 1 species